rnacentral:rRNA from 1 species
AGAGUUUGAUCCUGGCUCAGGAUGAACGCUGGCGGCGUGCUUAACACAUGCAAGUCGAACGAAGCACUUAGGAAAGAUUCUUCGGAUGAAAGCCUUUGUGACUGAGUGGCGGACGGGUGAGUAACGCGUGGGUAACCUACCUCAUACAGGGGGAUAACAGUUGGAAACGACCGCUAAUACCGCAUAACCCGCUAGUAUCGCAUGAUACAGACGGAAAAGAUUUAUCGGUAUGAGAUGGACCCGCGUCUGAUUAGCCAGUUGGCAGGGUAACGGCCUACCAAAGCAACGAUCAGUAGCCGGCCUGAGAGGGUGAACGGCCACAUUGGGACUGAGACACGGCCCAAACUCCUACGGGAGGCAGCAGUGGGGAACAUUGCACAAUGGGGGAAACCCUGAUGCAGCGACGCCGCGUGAGUGAGGAAGUAUUUCGGUAUGUAAAGCUCUAUCAGCAGGGAAGAAAAUGACGGUACCUGACUAAGAAGCCCCGGCUAACUACGUG